rnacentral:ncRNA from 2 species
AGGAGCCGUGUGAGAUGAAAAUCUCAAGCACAGUUCUGAAGACGAGUCGAGGAGGUGACCGUUCGGCUUAGUUUAAC